rnacentral:tRNA from 1 species
GGGCCGUAUUACUAAGGAAGUAAUCCCAUCGCUGGCAGCGAUGAGGUCAGGGGUUCGAUCCCCCUAGGCUCCA